rnacentral:tRNA from 1 species
CCUUCGAUAGCUCAGUUGGUAGAGCGGUGGACUGUAGUUGAUAUUGAAAUGAAGUAGAAAUCCAUAGGUCGCUGGUUCAAAUCCGGCUCGAAGGA